rnacentral:rRNA from 1 species
AGUACGGCCGCAAGGUUAAAACUCAAAUGAAUUGACGGGGGCCCGCACAAGCGGUGGAGCAUGUGGUUUAAUUCGACGCAACGCGAAGAACCUUACCUGGCCUUGACAUGCAGAGAACUUUCCAGAGAUGGAUUGGUGCCUUCGGGAACUCUGACACAGGUGCUGCAUGGCCGUCGUCAGCUCGUGUCGUGAGAUGUUGGGUUAAGUCCCGUAACGAGCGCAACCCCUAUCCCUAGUUGCUAGCAGUUCGGCUGAGAACUCUAGGGAGACUGCCGGUGACAAACCGGAGGAAGGUGGGGAUGACGUCAGGUCAUCAUGGCCCUUACGGCCAGGGCUACACACGUGCUACAAUGGUGCGCACAGAGGGCUGCAAACCCGCGAGGGGGAGCCAAUCUCACAAAACGCAUCGUAGUCCGGAUCGCAGUCUGCAACUCGACUGCGUGAAGUCGGAAUCGCUAGUAAUCGUGAAUCAGAAUGUCACGGUGAAUACGUUCCCGGGCCUUGUACACACCGCCCGUCACACCAUGGGAGUGGAUUGCACCAGAAGUGGUUAGUCUAACCUUCGGGAGGACGAUCACCACGGUGUGGUUCAUGACUGGGGUGAAGUCG